UACGGGGGGGGCAAGCGUUGUUCGGAAUUACUGGGCGUAAAGGGCUCGUAGGCGGCCAACUAAGUCAGACGUGAAAUCCCUCGGCUUAACCGGGGAACUGCGUCUGAUACUGGAUGGCUUGAGAUUGGGAGAGGGAUGCGGAAUUCCAGGUGUAGCGGUGAAAUGCGUAGAUAUCUGGAGGAACACCGGUGGCGAAGGCGGCAUCCUGGACCAACACUGACGCUGAUGAGCGAAAGCCAGAGGAGCAAACGGG
rnacentral:rRNA from 1 species